AGAGCACGUGCUCUGCCUACGGGCUGUGGGCGGGGCUGCUUUACAGGGAUCACGUCAUGCGGAGGGGUGGGGUUUUCCCUAGGCAGCCUCCGCAUGCUGCUCAGGCUCCAGCUCGUAGUGCGGGGCGCUGGGUCUCUGCACACGGUUCCCCAGCUGAACUGUCGCGCUGCCUUUUCGCACUAGGAACGCUGGUCUGAAGUGCCAGAUGCAAGGCUUCUACACAUAGCACCCCACGAGCAAGUGAAAAAGAGAUGGGGAAUAAGGAAUUUCUGGCAGCUGACUCAAACCCCAGUGAGGAACAUGAGCAGUAAAAAGAAAUGCUGGAGUCGGGUGAAAGAACUGGAGGCAGAAAUGCUAGAAAAAUAUCUUCACUGUCUCCGGACUUUUGUGAUUAAUUUCACUUAAAAACAAGACCAAAAAAAUGUUUAGGAGUUUUGGGAACUCAUAUAAUGAGAAUGGCCAGCAGAGGGCCUUUAGACGAACAUGAACACUUUACUAUUCAAGUGGAAUCUUUGAGCUUUGAUUCUUCUCGCUGCUGGAUUAUUUUUUUUUAAGAAAGUGAAAAAAAGAACCUCAUAUUUUAUUGGGAAAUAGUUGCAAAAUUCUUCAGCCUCGGUGUUUGUCAGUGGCAUCGCUGUUAGCAAUCUCCAUUUCAUGGAGGACAAGGUGCUUCAGCGGAAGGUCAGCAGGUGGCAAACUUCUACAACCCUUAGACAGAGGCCUGCAGUGGGCAGCUCCCGUUCUAGAGAAAUAUUUGGGGUUUGUGCUUCUUCUGGAGGGAUGGGUGGUGUCAGUGUAUGUGUAUGUGUUACAUUGUAAAACGCACUGAAUGAAAAAUAAGUUUCUUUUCAAAUAAUUGUGAAGGUAUUUGCCAGUUAAGCUAAAUCAGUUGGUAUCAAAAUCAGUUGGUCAACCAAUCAGUCCUGAAGGUCAUCUGUGAGUGCUGUGGUUAUCUCUGUCCCUGUGGGAGAGGGUGGAAUAGAAGAUUCCUAAAUUCCCCUUCGGUUCUGGUAGUCUGUGGUUGGAGAUGGUCAGCCUUGACCUAAGUCUUACCUACUCUUAAUGUCUUAUGAUCUGGAAGCAGAUGUAUAGAGUUCCUAAUUUUACAUGGUGUGAUAAUAUUUCGAUUAGAUUUUUGGAAGAAAAUUCUGAGAGCAAAUGUUGAAGAAUAACAGGAAUAUUUGAGUAAGUCCAUUUGAGUGCAAAACAUAGAAGGUUGUAAAAUCACCUUUUGUUUCUUUACUGAAAACUUGGAUUCAGUGUUAACUCUUUUUCACUGCUCAGAUUCUCAAGAUUUUAAGUUUAUGCUGAUAAAUUCUGGGGAAAAAUUAUUUCUUCAUUUGUUCUCCUGGAGAGUCAUUUUCUAGUUAAAAGGCAACACAGCAGUCCCUUCUUCUCCAAGGCUUUUGCUUUGCGUGGUUUCACCUGUGGUGGUGGUGGUUUAGUUGCUAAGUCGUGUCCAAUUCUUGUGAUCCCAUGGAC
ensembl:lncRNA